rnacentral:rRNA from 1 species
GACGAACCGUCCGAACGUUAUUCGGAAUCACUGGGCUUAAAGGGUGCGUAGGCGGCGCAGAAAGUUGGGUGUGAAAUCCCUCGGCUUAACCGAGGAACUGCGCCCAAAACUACUGUGCUCGAGGGAGAUAGAGGUGAGCGGAACUUAGGGUGGAGCGGUGAAAUGCGUUGAUAUCCUAAGGAACACCGGUGGCGAAAGCGGCUCACUGGAUCUUUUCUGACGCUGAGGCACGAAAGCUAGGGUAGCGAACGGG